UCCCUUAGCCCCACCCUUUCCGCCAGCACUCCCGCAUUCUAUUGGUUUAUUUACCAUUCAUUUCCAGUUCCUCGGCGCUGAUUGGCUGUUACCCCCAUCAAUCUUCCCGUUGCUACGCAACACCACCAAAGGGCGGAAACUAAGGCGGCCAUGGCGGCGCCCAUCUACGAGCCCUCAGCGUCCGUGGCUCUGUCGGAGCUCACGGCGCUGCUCUCUCCGUCCUCCCCCGCCGCUCCCGAAGCAGCCGAGGCCGCCCUGGCCCUCUCGGGCAGCGCCUCAGGCCGGGCGCUGCUUGCGGAACACCCCGCGGCCUUAUCGGCCUUGUGCGCCUUGGCAGCCUCGGCCUCGCGUGGAGCGCGGCCCGCCUUGUCCGCGCUGGUCAACGCAUCCUCGGAGCCCGCCGCGCUGGAGCCGCUUCUCGCCGCUCUCCCUUCUCUUGUCCCGCUUCUCCCCAGCUCCGGAGCGGCGUGCGGGGUGCUGGCCAACCUGAGCCGGGACGCGGCGGCGGCGCCGCGGGUGCUGCGGGCGCUGGGCCCCGGAGCGGAGCCGCUGCUGCUGCGGGCGCUGAGCGCGGAGCGGCCGCCGGCGGAGCUCGGGGCGCUGCUCUGCAACCUCAGCCAGGCCCCCGAGGGCCGCCAGGUGCUGCUGGAACCCACAGGGCGGGUGCUGCGGCGGCUCCUGGCGCUGCUGCGCUGCCGCCCGCCCGAGCUGCGGAGCGGAGCCGUCGGCGCUCUGCGGAACUGCUGCUUCCAGCACGCAACCCCUCUGGAAUUCCCAGAACACCACGAGCAGAUCCUGAGCCCCGAGCUGGAGGCGCUGCCACUGCUGCUGCUGCCCCUGGCCGGCCCCGAGGAGCUCCCCGAGGAGGAGAUGGAGCAACUUCCCGUGGUCCUGCAGUACCUCCCCCCGGAGCACCGGCGGGAAGAGGAGCCGGAGAUCCGGAAAAUGCUGCUGGAAACCUUGCUGCUGCUGGCGGCCACCGGGGCGGGGCGGGCGGCGCUGCGCUCCUGCGGCGCCUACCUGGUGCUGCGGGGGCUGCACGGCUGCGAGCGGCACCGCGGCGUGCUGCGCGCCUGCCGCAACCUCAUCCAGGUGCUGAUCGGGGACGAGCCCGAGGCGGGGCUGGAGAACCUGCUGGAGGUGACAAUUCCUGAGCAGGUGCAGAAACACCUGAGGGACCUGGACAGGCACGAGCAGGAGCAGGAGCAGCAGGAGGAGGAGGAGGAGGGGACACACAGGGGACACCGGGAUGGCACCAGGUGACACCAGGAUGGCUCCAGGUGACACCAGGAUGGCACCAGGUGACACCGGGACAGCUCCAGGUGACACCAGGAUGGCCCCAGGGGACACCAGAUGGCUCCAGGUGACACCAAAAUGGCUCCAGGUGACACCAAAAUGGCUCCAGGUGACACCAAAAUGGCUCCAGGGGACACCAAAAUGGAUCCAGGUGGCACCAAAACGGCUCCAGGGGACACCAGGAGGGCCCCAGGUGACACCAAAAUGGCUCCAGGUGACACCAAAAUGGCUCCAGGGGACACCUGGAUGGCACCAGGUGACACCAAAAUGGCACCAGGUGACACCAAAAUGGCUCCAGGUGACACCGGGAUGGAUCCAGGUGACACCAAAAUGGCUCCAGGUGACACCAAAAUGGAUCCAGGUGACACCAGGAGGGACUGUGGGGACAUGGUGCUGUCCCCAAGGAGCCAUCAGAAGGACCACGUGUCCCCAAGGGCCACCACGGUGACAGUGACGUGUCCCCAAGGGCCACCAUGGGGGUGUGCUGUCCCCAGGGUCACACAGGUGACACUGCUGUCCCUAAGAUCACACAGGUGACACUGCUGUCCCCAAGGGCCACAGAGGUGACCCUGCU